UAUAUGUUGUGUAGAAAUCACUCAAGUCUGCUUUUUAUUGUGGAAGCUCGUUGUAUGUGUAAAAUUAUUUAUACUCUUGGUCCCGGCGCACGGAGCCUACAAGACGCCGAAUGUUCCUGCUUCUGCUUACCAAGCAGGAAAACACCAGAAUAAGUUUAACUUGGGGAAGAGCAUGAAGAUUGGCGAGAGGUGGGGUACCAGAAAGAGGCGACGUUAAAAUCGGUGCCAGUGACGACGACGGUGGACACGAUGAGCUUGGCGACAGCGGCUGCCGCAACAUUGUUGUACUUGGAGCCCACGCUAUCCGAGCUUGACAA